rnacentral:ncRNA from 14 species
GCUGUGUCUAGGGGCGCUCCCGAAAAUCCGUACAUCUCGACGGACUGGUACAGCCACUACAGUAGAGG